UAAAGGGGUGUAGGGUUACCAUCAACCUGAGGUCAUAUCUGCAAGUCGAACGAGCUUCCGUUGAAUGACGUGCUUGCACUGAUUUCAACAAUGAAGCGAGUGGCGAACUGGUGAGUAACACGUGGGAAAUCUGCCCAGAAGCAGGGGAUAACACUUGGAAACAGGUGCUAAUACCGUAUAACAACAAAAUCCGCAUGGAUUUUGUUUGAAAGGUGGCUUCGGCUAUCACUUCUGGAUGAUCCCGCGGCGUAUUAGUUAGUUGGUGAGGUAAAGGCCCACCAAGACGAUGAUACGUAGCCGACCUGAGAGGGUAAUCGGCCACAUUGGGACUGAGACACGGCCCAAACUCCUACGGGAGGCAGCAGUAGGGAAUCUUCCACAAUGGACGAAAGUCUGAUGGAGCAAUGCCGCGUGAGUGAAGAAGGGUUUCGGCUCGUAAAACUCUGUUGUUAAAGAAGAACACCUUUGAGAGUAACUGUUCAAGGGUUGACGGUAUUUAACCAGAAAGCCACGGCUAACUACGUGCCAGCAGCCGCGGUAAUACGUAGGUGGCAAGCGUUGUCCGGAUUUAUUGGGCGUAAAGCGAGCGCAGGCGGUUUUUUAAGUCUGAUGUGAAAGCCUUCGGCUUAACCGGAGAAGUGCAUCGGAAACUGGGAGACUUGAGUGCAGAAGAGGACAGUGGAACUCCAUGUGUAGCGGUGGAAUGCGUAGAUAUAUGGAAGAACACCAGUGGCGAAGGCGGCUGUCUAGUCUGUAACUGACGCUGAGGCUCGAAAGCAUGGGUAGCGAACAGGAUUAGAUACCCUGGUAGUCCAUGCCGUAAACGAUGAGUGCUAAGUGUUGGAGGGUUUCCGCCCUUCAGUGCUGCAGCUAACGCAUUAAGCACUCCGCCUGGGGAGU
rnacentral:rRNA from 1 species